AAAGAUGGAUCCAUGAAGGUAAAAAUCAAUGAAAGGGAACAAAAAAAUAAUGGAAAGUGCAAUAGAGCAACCUUUUAACUCUGGCAUAACACAGGCGAAUGGGUAAUUGCUUCAUUAAAGUUUGGAAUUUAAAAGAAGUUUGUGAUUCGAUAAAUGAAGGAAUGCCAGCGAUAUAAAUAUUUUCAGUUCAAAGUUCAAGAUUUUUAUGUUCUUAGUAGAGGACGUCCAGCAACGAACGAACCCUUCGUUAAAUUAUUUUUUCAACGAAAAAAAAAACUGGAGAGUAUUUAUUUGCUUAUAGCCGAAACUAGCAAAAACAAGUACCAACCAACCAAUGAACAACCAGAAUGACCCAUAAUCGAAGUUGUUAAAGCUUCGGACUAUCCUCUGUUCGUGAGGACCCGGGUUCGAAUUCGAGCGGUCAAACACUCCAUGUUCGUCCCGAAUAUGUCAGGCUCCGUUCCUCAUCAUUGUGGGCCAUGCGUAACCCCUGAUAGAUGUGAUUAAAAGGCCUUCUUAGUGCUCACAGGACUGAAAUAAUUUAAGAACAAAGUUGAAUUGUAUUAGCAAAAUACAUUAUUUUAAUUAAUAAAUCACUCACUCUAAUAAAUAUAGCAAUAAAAAAUGUUGACAAAUUAUCGAUGAAUGUUUAGUAAAUUUGCCUCUAACGCCAUCCGAUAGUUAACAAAACCAAGAUCUUAUAUUUUAUAUGAAAUUGUAAUUACGAAAAGUAAAAGUAGAAAUGGCGGCACCGGGAUCCGAUAAUUGUUACGAAUUUUUUGUUUUGAGUUUAGUAUAGCGGA